GACGAACGCUGGCGGCGUGCUUAACACAUGCAAGUCGUACGGUAAGGCCCUUUCUGGGGUACGCGAGUGGCGCAAGGGUGUGUAACACGCGAGUAACCUGUCCACAACUUUGGGAGAACGCUAGGAAACUGGUGCUAAUAUUCGAUAUGUGCUCCUGCUGCAUGGUGGGGGGUGGAAAGCUCUGGGGGUUGUGGAUGGACUCUCGGGCUCUCUGCUCGUUGGGGGGGUAGUGGCCUACCAAGGGGGUGGCGGGUAGCCGGCCCGGGAGGGUGACCGGCCACAAGUGGACCUGGAUACGGCCCAGGCUCCCACGGGGAGGCACAAGUGGGGAUAUUUGACAAAGGGCGGAAACCUGAUGCAGGCACGCCGCGGGCGGGAUGACGGCCUUCGGGUUGUAAACCGUCUUCAGCAAGGACGGAGCUUAUUGUGACGGUACCUGCAGAAGAAGCACCGGCUAACUACGUG
rnacentral:rRNA from 1 species